AGCAGCCGCGGUAAUUCCAGCUCCAAUAGCGUAUAUUAAAGUUGUUGCAGUUAAAAAGCUCGUAGUUGAAUUUCGAGAUCAAAUUGUUGGUCGUGCCUUGGUACGCACUGGCAUUAUUGGUUUCUCCCUUCUGACGAACCAUGAUGUCAUUAAUUUGGUGUCUUGGGGAAUCAGGACUGUUACUUUGAAAAAUUAGAGUGUUUAAAGCAGGCUCACGCUUGAAUACAUUAGCAUGGAAUAAUGAAAUAGGACGUUUGAUUCUAUUUUGUUGGUUUCUAGGAUCGACGUAAUGAUUAAUAGGGAUAGUUGGGGGCAUUAGUAUUCAAUUGUCAGAGGUGAAAUUCUUGGAUUUAUUGAAGACUAACUACUGCGAAAGCAUUUGCCAAGGAUGUUUUCAUUAAUCAAGAACGAAAGUUAGGGGAUCGAAGACGAUCAGAUACCGUCGUAGUCUUAACCAUAAACUAUGCCGACUAGGGAU
rnacentral:misc_RNA from 1 species